ACAUUUUUUUUACAUGGAAACAUAAUAAUAUAGUUUUAUACUGUGAUAAAUAUCAAUGCAUUGGUUACUUUUCUUUAAAUUGUUAUCGCUGCUUCCAAAAUGCCUCAGAGAUGGUUUUUAUUUAAUUUCUCUCAACAUUAAUUUUUACAUUU